GGCAGAGUAGAUAAUUGUGGGUUAUGUGCCCGAGAAACGGGGAGUUGAUCUCGGGACGGAAACAUUCGUCAUAGUCGUAAACUAAUACGAAAGUUGCCGUACAAUUAUCGCAUCCCGCUGCU
rnacentral:ncRNA from 1 species